rnacentral:lncRNA from 1 species
CUUUGCCUUUCUGGCUUCCUUCGCUUAGUAUGAGGGUCUCUCGUUCCAGCCCCGCGGCGGCAGAUGGCACUCGUUCUGCCGCUUUUUCCUGGCUGUGUGCGAUGCCAUCGCAUGGAUGUCCCCGGGCCUUCGAAGUGCACUCACCUGUCAGUGGACCUUUAGGUGGCUUCCAGAUCUUGGCUCUGGUGAGUAGUGCGGCGACAGACAGAGGGGUGCCCGGGUCUGCUUCCGGGAAAGUUUGGUCCCGGAAAUGGAGCUGUUUGGAGGCCGG